ensembl:lncRNA
GUAACUGCUCAUUUGAACAUAUGCUUCUCAUAGGAACCGAAAACACACUCCUCACUCAUUGGAUGACUUCAAGCCUGAGCUGAUACAGCGGUGUGUCAGUCGUUUGAAUGCAGGAGAUGAUCCUCUUGAGGAACAUAAUGAAAAUCCAUUGUGUGAAGAUGUAGCAAAUGAAGAGGAUGAAGAAAUUGGGGAAUUGCCUAAUUUAAUUGAGAAACAUUUAGCCCACCUACUACUAAAACUGGAAAGUAUAUAUAAUGUACCUCGCAGGUGUAUUGAUGAAUUAGUUGUUACAGUUACAGUUAUAGUUCAUGUCAUUCUCUGAUUCAGGUCCUAUUCAUCAAAAGCACAAUUGUGCUGUUGAUGAAAUUUAGGUUACAUUUACUUUUAGUCACUUUAUCCUAUUGCUAGCAAAGUGGGCAUUUAAAGCAGGCCAGUGUGUAACAGUUUAAAUUGAAGUUACAAAGAUUAAAUCUUUAUUUCUUUUAAAAACAUAUUUAAAAUCAAUAUUUGGCACAAUGCAAGUCACAUAAAUGUAAUAGUUUUGACUUUUCACCUAAUAAACUGUAAGUUUAAGUUUUGUUUUGCUUUUUUUAUUCUCCAGAGUUCGGUGGAAAUGAAGAGAGAGGUCGCAAUCCGUUGCCUGAAGGUGUAUCUGAAAGAGAAGGAAGAGGAUCUCUUCAGAGAACAGCUGGAUGGUGAACAACAGUUCCCAGAAGAAGUGGUAAAGAUUGUAGUCACCAGACGUGCAGCAGUGUCUCUCAAAGCUGUCGCUAAAAUUGUGAUUGAAGGAACAGCAGUCCUGGAAGACCUUGAUGUGCCCAGAGUGUGUGCCUUAAUGAUGGGGCUUAUAUACACUCUCAAUCUGAGCUACCCAAAACAAGUAAAGAACACUAGAGGUAUUUCUGGAACUUGAUGGGCUUAAACCAGUCCACGGGUAAUGUCUGUUAAGUGCAAACUUCUGUCAUGAAACGAAUGUGAAUUGGACUGUAGUAUUCCGAUGUGCCUCUUACGUUUUUGUAUGCAGUCCCAGAUGAGUGUAGUUUUGAGAAAAGUUUGUAAUACAUAUAAUCUUAGCUUUGGAUUGUUCUGUUGUUGAACAUUAAAAUCUUUUGUCAUUUCCUUGAUUCUGCGACAAGUUGAACAAGUUGAUACCAAUUUAUGUUAAUGUUAAUGUACAUGAAGUACUUUUUUUUUUUUUAGUCAUUUAUAAUUAAAGGGCUGCUGUAAUGUUUCAUUUAUGUUGUAUUGACACAGAAGUGUAUUACUUUGAAAAUGUUUUGUAAUAAAAUAAUCAAUUGGAAUAAGUGAAAUGGCUUUGUGUGAUUUUUAGAAAAGCUACUAUAGAAACCUAAACUAAUUGGCAUGGAUAAUUGUGAGUAGGAUAUAUGUAAAAAAGUUCGUUGGUGUAACUCAACUAAUGUAAUUUCUCAACUUAAUUUUACCAGAAAUUUUAAAUUAAUAUUAGGUUGAAUAAACUUAAUUAUGCUUGUGGAGGUCAAGGUAAAUCAUGUUGGUUUGUUAAACAAGUUGAGUUAGCCAAACCUAAAAAUUACUUGCUGAAUUUACUUAAUAAUAUGCAAAAUUUGUAACUUAAAAAGCUGAGUGGAAAUUGUUACCUUACUUUUUUAAGUUGAGGCAACAAAAUAUUUUUUAGAGUGUA